AAUUUUGAAGGGCCGCAGUAUUCUGACUGUGCAAAGGUAGCAUAAUCAUUUGCCUUUUAAUUAAAGGCUUGUAUGAAUGGUUGAACGAAAUACAAACUGUCUCACUCUAAAAAAUUUAAAAAUUUAGCUUUCAAGUCAAAAGGCUUGAAUAAUAUUAGAGGACGAGAAGACCCUAUAGAACUUUAUAAUAUUUUUUGUGAAUUUACAUAGUAAAAUAUUUUUUAUUUAUAAAUAUUAUUAUUUUGUUGGGGUGACAGGAAAAUAAGUAAAACUUUUUUGAAUUUUGAACAUUGAUUUAUGAAUAUUUGAUCCAUUAUUAGUGAUUAUUAGAAUAAGUUACCUUAGGGAUAACAGCGUAAUUUUGUUGGAGAGUUCAAAUCGAUAACAAAGUUUGCGACCUCGAUGUUGAAUUAAAGAAAUUUUAGAGUGCAGAAGCUUUAAGUAAUAGGUCUGUUCGACCUUUAAAUCUUUACAUGAUCUGAGU
rnacentral:rRNA from 1 species